GACGAACGCUGGCGGCGUGCUUAACACAUGCAAGUCGAACGGAAAGGCCCUGCUUUUGUGGGGUGCUCGAGUGGCGAACGGGUGAGUAACACGUGAGUAACCUGCCCUUGACUUUGGGAUAACUUCAGGAAACUGGGGCUAAUACCGGAUAGGAGCUCCUGCUGCAUGGUGGGGGUUGGAAAGUUUCGGCGGUUGGGGAUGGACUCGCGGCUUUUCAGCUUGUUGGUGGGGUAGUGGUUUACCAAGGCUUUGACGGGUAGCCGGCCUGAGAGGGUGACCGGCCACAUUGGGACUGAGAGACGGCCCAGACUCCUACGGGAGGCAGCAGUGGGGAAUAUUGCACAAUGGGCGGAAGCCUGAUGCAGCAACGCCGCGUGCGGGAUGACGGCCUUCGGGUUGUAAACCGCUUUCGCCUGUGACGAAGCGUGAGUGACGGUAAUGGGUAAAGAAGCACCGGCUAACUACGUG
rnacentral:rRNA from 1 species